rnacentral:rRNA from 1 species
GAUGAACGCUAGCGGCAGGCUUAACACAUGCAAGUCGAGGGGUAGAAGCUUUCGGGCUUUGAGACCGGUGCACGGGAGCGUAACGCGUAUGCAAUCUGCCUUACACUAAGGGAUAGCCCAGAGAAAUUUGGAUUAAUACCUUAUAGUAUAUUGAUGUGGCAUCACAUUAUUAUUAAAGAUUUAUCGGUGUAAGAUGAGCAUGCGUCCCAUUAGCUAGUUGGUAUGGUAACGGCAUACCAAGGCUAUGAUGGGUAGGGGUCCUGAGAGGGAGAUCCCCCACACCGGGACUGAGACACGGCCCAG